AUGGUCCUAGAGGAUGAGAGAGGGUUAAACUUCCCUUGUUUCUAUGACAAUGUUGGUACCCGUGUGCAACCAGAAAGAAACCCUUCUCGCAUACACGCUUUUCUUCAAGCACAUCGUGAGAUUGAGGAUGCAACCACUCAUGGUCGGCUCCGGGAUCUAGUAGAGCACCACUGGCAGUUGGAUGGGCGGCGCAUUGGCCCAUGA
rnacentral:rRNA from 1 species